rnacentral:tRNA from 1 species
GGGGAUUUAGCUCAGUGGCAUAAACACCUGCCUUGCAAGCAGGUGGUCGUGAGUUCAAUCCCCC